UUUUGCUAUGGCUGUUACACUGUCAUAUGCUGUGGGAGUGUCUGGUCGGGCGUGGUCCAGGUUCCUGUCAUUCGUCCCUGGGGGUGGAGUUGGCCAGCUCAUCACCUGUUGUCAAUCUCCGGGGCUCCACCUAGAGGGUUUUUAAGCCGGCACGGCCUGCCACUCCUCGCCAGUUCGUCCUGCUACCAUCUGUGAUUCACCACCCGUCGCACUCAUCAGUAGUGCUGGUUUGGUCUCCAUUCUGUUCUUCCGUCUGCUCUGAACCCGAGGAUUAUAUACUCCACUUCUCCUCAGCCUGCCCUUCAGUCCGUAUUCUCCACCUCCUUGGAAUCUGGACCGGACUCUCCAUACUCUUGACCCUCUCUGGAAUACUCCCACGGCAGCCCUUUUCCCGCCUAAUAACUAGGGUCUCCAAAAGUUCCCGUUAGAGUUCUCCCCGUGCUCUACGCCGGUCUCCCCGCCCACGGAUUUCCCUUAGUUUCUGCGUAUGGUUUCUGUUAAACCCAGUUCUGUUCACGUUUUGUUCUUUUCAAUAAAUUAUAUACAGU